AUUGAACGCUGGCGGCAUGGUUAAAACAUGCAAGUCGAACGAGAACCCCUUCGGGGGGGACAGUGGCGAAAGGGCGAGGAAUACGAUUGUACGUACCCCGAGGUGGGGGAUAGCUGCGGGAAACUGCAAGUAAUACCCCAUGUGCUCCCCGGAGGAAAGGUUUACCGCCUUGGGAGCGGCGAUUGUCCUAUCAGGUAGUUGGUGAGGUAACGGCUCACCAAGCCGAAGACGGGUAGCGGGUGUGAGAGCAUGACCCGCCGCAUUGGGACUGAGACACUGCCCGGACUCCUACGGGAGGGUGCAGUAACGAAUUUUUCGCAAUGGGCGAAAGCCUGACGGAGCAAUGCCGCGUGUGGGAUGAAGCAUUUUCGAUGUGUAAACCCCUGUCAGGACUUAGGAUCAAUGACCAAGUCCAAAGGAAGGGCCGGCUAAUCUCGUG
rnacentral:rRNA from 1 species